GACGAACGCUGGCGGCGUGCUUAACACAUGCAAGUCGAACGCUGAAGCUUGGUGCUUGCACUGGGUGGAUGAGUGGCGAACGGGUGAGUAAUAAGUGAGUAACCUGCCCUUGACUCUGGGAUAAGCCUGGGAAACUGGGUCUAAUACUGGAUACGACAUGUCACCGCAUGGUGGUGUGUGGAAAGGGUUUUACUGGUUUUGGAUGGGCUCACGGCCUAUCAGCUUGUUGGUGGGGUAAUGGCUCACCAAGGCGACGACGGGUAGCCGGCCUGAGAGGGUGACCGGCCACACUGGGACUGAGACACGGCCCAGACUCCUACGAGAGGCAGCAGUGGGGAAUAUUGCACAAUGGGCGGAAGCCUGAUGCAGCGACGCCGCGUGAGGGAUGACGGCCUUCGGGUUGUAAACCUCUUUCAGCACGGAAGAAGCGAAAGUGACGGUACGUGCAGAAGAAGCGCCGGCUAACUACGUG
rnacentral:rRNA from 1 species